rnacentral:rRNA from 1 species
UACGUAGGGGGCAAGCGUUGUCCGGAUUUACUGGGCGUAAAGAGCGCGCAGGCGGUCGAAUAAGUCGAAUGUGAAAGCCCCCGGCUCAACUGGGGAGGGUCACGCGAUACUGCUCGACUUGAAGGCAGGAGAGGGAAGUGGAAUUCCCGGUGUAGUGGUGAAAUGCGUAGAUAUCGGGAGGAACACCAGUGGCGAAGGCGACUUCCUGGCCUGUUCUUGACGCUGAGGCGCGAAAGCUAGGGUAGCAAACGGG